rnacentral:rRNA from 1 species
UUUCCGGUUGAUCCUGCCGGACCCGACUGCUAUCAGAAUAGGACUAAGCCAUGCGAGUCAACGUAGCAAUACGUGGCAUACGGCUCAGUAACACGUAGUCAACAUGCCCAGGGGACGUGGAUAACUUCGGGAAACUGAGGAUAAACCGCGAUAGGUCAUAAUAUCUGGAAUGAUUUAUGGCUAAAAUCUACAUGGCCCCUGGAUUGGACUGCGGCCGAUCAGGCUGUUGGUGAGGUAAUGGCCCACCAAACCUAAAACCGGUACGGGCUCUGAGAGGAGAAGCCCGGAGAUGGGCACUGAGACAAGGGCCCAGGCCCUAUGGGGCGCAGCAGGCGCGAAACCUCUGCAAUAAGCGAAAGCUUGACAGGGUUAUUCUGAGUGAUUUCCGCUAAGGAAGUCUUUUGGCACCUCUAAAAAUGGUGCAGAAUAAGGGGUGGGCAAGCCUGGUGUCAGCCGCCGCGGUAAUACCAGCACCCCGAGUGGUCGGGACGAUUAUUGGGCCUAAAGCAUCCGUAGCCGGUUCUGCAAGUCUUCCGUUAAAUCCAGCUGCUUAACAGUUGGGCUGCGGAGGAUACUAUAGAGCUAGGAGGCGGGAGAGGCAAGCGGUACUUAGUGGGUAGGGGUAAAAUCCGUUGAUCCACUGAAGACCACCAGUGGCGAAGGCGGCUUGCCAGAACGCGCUCGACGGUGAGGGAUGAAAGCUGGGGGAGCAAACCGGAUUAGAUACCCGGGUAGUCCCAGCUGUAAACGAUGCAGACUCGGUGAUGAAUAGGCUUCGUGCAUAUUCAGUGCCGCAGGGAAGCCGUUAAGUCUGCCGCCUGGGGAGUACGGUCGCAAGACUGAAACUUAAAAGAAUUGGCGGGGGAGCACCACAAGGGGUGAAGCCUGCGGUUCAAUUGGAGUCAACGCCGGA